rnacentral:rRNA from 1 species
GUGGGGAAUAUUCCGCAAUGGACGAAAGUCUGACGGAGCAACGCCGCGUGAGUGAUGAAGGUUUUCGGACUGUAAAGCUCUGUUGUUUAGGACGAAAGUGCCUGUUGCGAAUAGUUACAGGUAUUGACGGUACUGAACGAGGAAGCCACGGCUAACUACGUGCCAGCAGCCGCGGUAAUACGUAGGUGGCAAGCGUUGUCCGGAAUUAUUGGGCGUAAAGAGCAUGUAGGCGGGAAUCUAAGUCUGUUGUGAAAAUGCGGGGCUCAACCCCGUAGUGCGAUGGAAACUGGGUUUCUUGAGUGCAGGAGAGGAAAGGGGAAUUCCCAGUGUAGCGGUGAAAUGCGUAGAUAUUGGGAGGAACACCAGUGGCGAAGGCGCCUUUCUGGACUGUGUCUGACGCUGAGAUGCGAAAGCCAGGGUAGCGAACGGGAUUAGAAACCCCAGUAGUCC